rnacentral:tRNA from 1 species
GCCUAGUUAGCUUGGUUGGUAGAGCGUCUGCCUUAUAAGCGCUAGACCGCGGAUUCAAUUCUCGCCCGGGGCG